UCUGGAAACAAGGGGGAAAAGGAAGAAAUGGUUGCUGACCAAGAGCUGGCUGGGCUAAGGGCGGGAGAGGGGGGAGGGGGCUGAGGCAGCAGUGACCUGAACUGAAGGGGACCGGGCUUGGCCUAGAUGCCCCCCAGGGGGCACAGCCCUCACCAGCCUAGCUACUACUGUGGAAACCCUGCUCUCUGCAGCACGGUGACCUACCAGGGUGGAGGGCACUGAACACUGGAGGAAGAGGGCAGAGGCCUCCUCUCUGUUCCUCGACCCUGCAGACUCAGCCUCCCCAGCCUGCCACCAGAAGCUGAGGCCGGUGUGGAAGCUGGGAACUGACCCCUCUGCUGCCACCAGCAUGUCAAAGCCCUCCCUCCACUCCCCAGUGGGUCUGAGAUGAGUGGGUAGUAUCUCAGUGCCCUGGUAAGAAUAGACAAUAACAACAAGGAUAUUGGGAAGAGAUAUUUUAAAUUCAUCAAUUGCUCAAUCAAGUACUUUUCUUUCUCUUCCCAGCUAUAAAUCUAGAAGGGGUAGAAAAUGGUGAAAAGAAAAAAAAGAAAGAAAGAAAACCGAUCCACAGAGAGAAAGGCAGAGCUCGCUGAGGCUCCAGCUGGAAAGACGAGCCGGCAGUGUGGGGCUGACCCCACAGGAGGCUGGCCACUCUAGCCUGGGGCUUCUCACUCAGACUAACCUCGUGCGGGAAAAACUGGGGGCUCUUUAUUAAUUAAGCAAUUUCAAGAAUUUUUUUUAAAAAAAGAAAAUGUAUUUUUUUCUUCUUGACUGCCUUCCCUUCCAACAUUUUCCCUUCUAGCCCUGUCGUUGCCAUCCGUUUUAAUCCACAAACUAAUUGUAAUCCCAUUAAAGCAGAUAUAAUUUUAUUACUAUUCACGGUUCAUCAAGCUAAUAAUAAUAACUGUUACUGCCAAACUGAAAAAUAAAAGCGGCAAAUAAUAUUUCUGAUGUUUAGAAUAAACUGUAAACAAAAGCAAGCGGACCUGCGAGGGUGACCCAUCAGGUCCACGAGCAGUCCCUCAGGCUCCCCCAGCUCCGCCCACGCUGGUCAGUGACUUCCCCGCCAGCUGCGGCUUCGCUCCAGAGACCGGGUCAGCGCUACCAAGGACAGACCCUCGGGGAAGGGGACAUGAGUGGGCCGCAACAAGGGGGCGUGCCGAGAAUGAUCAGAACAACUCCGGGUCUCUGGUCUUGAAGCUAAAGCGCACGGACUCGCCUGCACCGAAAUCCCGAGCGGGGCGCCGCUCUGAGUUCCCGCGGUGCGGGAUGCGCGGUCCGCACUCGGGGCCACGCUUAGUUCGGCGUUAGCAGGAUACCAAAGGCACUUGUUAAAGCGCAUGCAUCCCCUGCAAACCCAUUCUCGCCCUGACACUUCAAGGCUUUAUAUAGAAACAGGAUUUUCUCGUCUUACACUAGCAGUUCCCAUUAGCGCUCCCCGGGCGCACACUGCUCUCUAAUCCGCGGGCCGGACGCGCCCUGGCCCCCUCCCCCAGCCGCACAGUCGUUCUGUCCCUGCAGAAAGCGCCACCGAGUCUCAGACGCUGAACGUCUUAACGAGUCCAUUCUUUUGAAUGUCGUCCCCCACUCAGCCCCAGUGGGACCGCCUCCCCCCGCACCCCCCCAGCAUUGUGCCACAACCCCAGACUGGCGUCCCGGAGCUCCGGGCGCCCCUCGACCGCCACCGGCAUCACCUGGGCCGCUACGCCGCAGUGCCUGGCCUGCUGUCCCCGAGCCCGGAGCUUCCCGGUGAGGCUGGAACAAUCACCCCGCCCCCCAAUCAAAUUCGCCCAGGAUCUUCCUCUGCGGAUUGGGGGUUUGGGAGGGAGGGGGCUCAGAGAGUCAGAAAUUGUUUUCUCUCUGCCUCCCAAAUCGGCCACAAUGUUUCUCCAUUCAGCGCCUGCCCGGGAUCACUUAACCAAGGCUGGUCUUCGCGUGGCACCUAGGUCGACCCUGCAAAGGAGCACAGACCAAGCAUAGCUCAGCCUUCUCCUGCGUCUGGGUCCCAGCAGACCCGUGUCCUCGGGUCUUCCAGACCCAUCUCGGACAGGGCCGGCUUAAAAUGACCCUCCUCUUCUUUUUCUUCUACCCCUCCCAUCGCGGAAGUCUGCUCCCGGGCGAAAUCGGAGACAAUUUCAACUCUGAGAGGAGCAACCCAGCAAGCGAAAUAAACUGUACACCACCAUGCACGUGCGACCAAAAUCUCUCGGCCCUCCUCCAUUUCGAAUACUUCUCUCCUUAUUUCCGAAAUACGCAUUGUUUUAAUACUUCAUCUCAGUUCCAAUAGAAUGGAGAUAUUCUUAACUGUGAACUUUGCAGACAAUCAAAACCUUUUUUAAAGCCAUUCCACCGUGACAACAAAGCGAUUAAGAUGUUUUCUAUUUCGUAAAUACCAUUUAAAAUUGCUAUAUUUUAUGCUCUGGGUUCUACACUGUCUUAUUUGCACACUAUUUUGUGUCUGAUUUAAUCUAUAACCGAAAACAUAAUGUAUUAAGUGAAUACAUAUUUGCUCAGCUGAUAAGCUUUUUUUAAUAUUUAUUCGGAGAAUUUUGCAUUGUAAAUAAACGGGACUACACAAAGACUU